ensembl:piRNA 21ur-5053 ncRNA
UGUUGUAUAUUAAUGGUGUAA